UACGAAGGGUGCAAGCGUUACUCGGAACUACUGGGCGUAAAGCGUGCGUAGGCGGUUCGUUAAGUCUGUCGUGAAAGCCCUGGGCUCAACCUGGGAAUUGCGAUGGAUACUGGCGAGCUAGAGUACGGUAGAGGAUGGUGGAAUUCCCGGUGUAGCGGUGAAAUGCGUAGAGAUCGGGAGGAACACCCGUGGCGAAGGCGGCCAUCUGGACCAGUACUGACGCUGAGGCACGAAAGCGUGGGGAGCAAACAGG
rnacentral:rRNA from 1 species